rnacentral:rRNA from 1 species
AUUGAACGCUGGCGGCAUGCUUUACACAUGCAAGUCGAACGGCAGCGCGGGGCAACCUGGCGGCGAGUGGCGAACGGGUGAGUAAUAUAUCGGAACGUACCCAAGAGUGGGGGAUAACGUAGCGAAAGUUACGCUAAUACCGCAUACGAUCUAAGGAUGAAAGUGGGGGAUCUUCGGACCUCAUGCUCCUGGAGCGGCCGAUAUCUGAUUAGCUAGUUGGUAGGGUAAAGGCCUACCAAGGCUACGAUCAGUAGCUGGUCUGAGAGGACGACCAGCCACACUGGAACUGAGACACGGUCCAGACUCCUACGGGAGGCAGCAGUGGGGAAUUUUGGACAAAGGGCGCAAGCCUGAUCCAGCAAUGCCGCGUGAGUGAAGAAGGCCUUCGGGUUGUAAAGCUCUUUUGUCAGGGAAGAAACGGCUGAGGUUAAUACCUUUGGCUAAUGACGGUACCUGAAGAAUAAGCACCGGCUAACUACGUG